UUCCAUUUCUUUCCUUUCGUUCUUGAAUGAAUGCCAUAUGAACAGUCGAAAUUCAGAGCGUUACGGAAUACGUUUUGCAAAAUUGAUGAUGAAUUAAAGAUUUAAUUAAAUCGAAACCCUCCCCUUGAAUCCUAUAAUAGAUGAGAUAAAGAAAGAAGAGCAUCCCCUCAAUCAAGCAAGCAGGCAAGCAAGCAAGACAUCAUGCCAGAAGAAGACGAUCGAUCUAGGGUUUGGAUACCAAUUGAAGGCUGCAACCGAUUCAUCUCAUCAUACGAAACAAAGGUUUCCUAUUUUCUAGCCCUCUAAUUUCACAAUUGGAACCUAAAGUAAAUUCCCUUUUGUCUCAAUUACAUCAAAUGUUAGCUUACUUGAUCUUAUAGGGAGAAGAAACAACCGAGAGGAGGGAUAGGGCUUUUGCCUCAAGAGUGUAAGCACAAAUGGUUUGUGGCAUAGUAGUUUGUUUAUAACCACUACAAAGAGGAAGAAGCUGCAUUGAGCUCAACGUCCAUCUAUUAACACAACAAAGGCUCAUCACGGUUUCAGUUUGGUUGGUGAGUGAGCGGAAUCUGUUCAGGAGGAGGGCGGAAGCCAAACGGGCUGAAUGAUAUAUACUGGGUUGAAACAUUUAACUAUGCGGACAAAGGGCUGACAAAAGCUUAUAGAACUACUGCCGUGGGCAAAAUCUCAAGUUACAUGUGGUGCUGUUGAUAAUUGUGUAUCGGCCCUCAUACCGUUCAUAUUUCAUAUAUCAGGAGGAUUUUAGAAUGAGAAAUCAAAAUCUAUAUAUAUUCUAAAGUUUAGUUAUAUGUUCUAUUUUAAAACCAAAAUUUAUGGUUGUUUUAAAUGCAUCAUCC